AUUUGGGUUUGCUAUGCUUUGCUUUUCUCCUCGUCAGCCUAGAAACUAGUUUUAAAAAAUUUCAAAAUUUAAAUAGAGACUCAAAUCUAGUCAGUAACUUCUUAAUCGCUAAGUAAACACCAUGGAGGAUGACCUGGAGUUUCUCAUCAAUGCUCUGUCAGUGCCGAAUACUCCUCUGACCGAGCCGUAUGAUGAGAAUCAGCUGCUGGACAUGCGUGAGUCCUUCAAGACGCUGCAGAAGCUCCUUCGACGCAGCUCCUUGCCCGUGGAGGAGAGUCUGCCCUACAUGCCGAGAUCAAAAGCCGGAGGAUAUACAGACAGGCUGGAGGAAAGGGCGCUUGUAUCCAUGUUGGCCCUUACGACAGAUUUCGAGAAGAUCAGCGAUCCUGGCAGUGGUCACCAGGUGUGGAACUCGGCGCAAAGUGGAGCCCACUCGUCGCCCAUUAUUUCGGAGUGCGGUCUGCGGGAUCGAGAUCGAGAUCAGGAUCUAGACAACAGUUCAUGGGACGAGAGUCCCGAUAUUGGAGACAUGGCACUGGUGCCCUACGAGGAACUCUGCAAUGAGCGGACUAGCUCGAACACCACGAUCACCGGCCAGUCCUUCUCCUCGUCGGGCAUCUCGAUUAGCAUUCCCGUAAGGUUGGUCUGGAACAACGACGAGUACAAGUCUGAGACAACGGACAGCGAAACCACCAUAAAGCCCGAUGGGUGUCGGUACACUGUCCGAAAUUAGGCUCUCAUAACUUUUGAUCGGCAUGGUAGGCAAAAUUUUAAACAUCCCUAGUUUAAAGUUUGCAAGUUUAAGGCUUUUCAAUAGGUAGCUUCAUAAAAUUAUUUCAGAAAGCUUUUAAGAGCUUUCCGCCUGGUGAGACCUCAUCAACAUACCCUCAACAUGUGAAGCGCCUCUCUAUGCGCUUCUCAACAUUUUAACGUCAGAGGUGGAUGGUACUAGGAGAUCACGGAUCAACGUCAUCAAAUUAGAACGCAUGACAUGACCCCAGACACAGUUUUAAUGAGUGGGCAUACCGACAUGGGCAUGUGCCUGUGACCCCCUGCUUAACCCAUGCUGGCCACUCUCAACGGCUGCAAUAGAACUUGUAAAAGU